AGGGUUUGAUCAUGGCUCAGAUUGAACGCUGGCGGUAGGCUUAACACAUGCAAGUCGUGCGAGAAAGUAUCUUCGGAUAUGAGUAGAGCGGCGGACGGGUGAGUAACGCGUAGGAAUCUACCUAGUAGAAGGGGAUAGCCCGGGGAAACUCGGAUUAAUACCGUAUACCUCCUUCGGGAGAAAGAAGGCCUCUCUUUGAAGCUUUCGCUAUUAGAUGAGCCUGCGUAAGAUUAGCUUGUUGGUGAGGUAAAGGCUCACCAAGGCGACGAUCUUUAGCGGGUCUGAGAGGACGAUCCGCCACAUUGGGACUGAGACACGGCCCAGACUCCUACGGGAGGCAGCAGUGGGGAAUAUUGGACAAUGGGCGCAAGCCUGAUCCAGCCAUACCGCGUGUGUGAAGAAGGCCCUAGGGUUGUAAAGCACUUUAAGUUGGGAAGAAAAGUUAUUGGUUAAUACCCAAUAACCGUGACAUUACCAUCAGAAUAAGGACCGGCUAAUUCCGUGCCAGCAGCCGCGGUAAUACGGAAGGUCCAAGCGUUAAUCGGAAUUACUGGGCGUAAAGCGCGCGUAGGUGGUUUAUUAAGUUGGAUGUGAAAUCCCCGGGCUCAACCUGGGAACUGCAUCCAAAACUGAUUCACUAGAGUACGAUAGAGGGAGGUAGAAUUCACAGUGUAGCGGUGGAAUGCGUAGAUAUUGUGAAGAAUACCAAUGGCGAAGGCAGCCUCCUGGAUCUGUACUGACACUGAGGUGCGAAAGCGUGGGUAGCGAACAGGAUUAGAUACCCUGGUAGUCCACGCCGUAAACGAUGUCAACUAGCUGUUGGAAAACUAUGUUUUUCAGUGGCGCAGCUAACGUAGUAAGUUGACCGCCUGGGGAGUACGGCCGCAAGGCUAAAACUCAAAUGAAUUGACGGGGACCCGCACAAGCGGUGGAGCAUGUGGUUUAAUUCGAUGCAACGCGAAAAACCUUACCUAUACUUGACAUACUUGGAAUGCUUUGUAAUGAAGCAGUGCCUUCGGGAGCCAAGAUACAGGUGCUGCAUGGCUGUCGUCAGCUCGUGUCGUGAGAUGUUCCGUUAAGUCGGAUAACGAGCGCAACCCUUACCCUUAUUUGCCAGCGAUUCGGUCGGGAACUAUAAGGGGACUGCCGGUGAUAAACCGGAGGAAGGUGAGGACGACGUCAAGUCAUCAUGGCCCUUACGUAUAGGGCUACACACGUGCUACAAUGGAGAAUACAGACGGACGCUAAGCCGCGAGGUGGUGCUAAUCCUAGAAAAUUCUUCGUAGUCCGGAUUGGAGUCUGCAACUCGACUCCAUGAAGUCGGAAUCGCUAGUAAUCGCGAAUCAGCAUGUCGCGGUGAAUACGUUCUCGGGUCUUGUACACACCGCCCGUCAUACCAUGGAAGUGGAUUGCACCAGAAGUAGAUAGUCUAACCUUCGGGAGGGCGUUUACCACGGUGUGCUUCAUGACUGGGGUAAAGUCGUAACAAGGUAACCGUA
rnacentral:rRNA from 1 species